rnacentral:rRNA from 1 species
GCUGGCGGCAUGCCUUACACAUGCAAGUCGAACGGCAGCACGGACUUCGGUCUGGUGGCGAGUGGCGAACGGGUGAGUAAUGCAUCGGAACGUGCCAUUGAGUGGGGGAUAACGUAGCGAAAGUUGCGCUAAUACCGCAUAUUCUGUGAGCAGGAAAGCAGGGGACCGCAAGGCCUUGCGCUCUUUGAGCGGCCGAUGUCAGAUUAGCUAGUUGGUGAGGUAAAGGCUUACCAAGGCGACGAUCUGUAGCGGGUCUGAGAGGAUGAUCCGCCACACUGGAACUGAGACACGGUCCAGACUCCUACGGGAGGCAGCAGUGGGGAAUUUUGGACAAUGGGGGCAACCCUGAUCCAGCCAUGCCGCGUGAGUGAAGAAGGCCUUCGGGUUGUAAAGCUCUUUCGGCCGGGAAGAAAUCGCAUGGGCCAAUACCCUGUGUGGAUGACGGUACCGGAAUAAGAAGCACCGGCUAACUACGUGCCAGCAGCCGCGGUAAUACGUAGGGUGCGAGCGUUAAUCGGAAUUACUGGGCGUAAAGCGUGCGCAGGCGGUUUCGUAAGACAGGCGUGAAAUCCCCGGGCUUAACCUGGGAACUGCGUUUGUGACUGCAAGGCUAGAGUACGGCAGAGGGGGGUGGAAUUCCACGUGUAGCAGUGAAAUGCGUAGAGAUGUGGAGGAACACCAAUGGCGAAGGCAGCCCCCUGGGUCGAUACUGACGCUCAUGCACGAAAGCGUGGGUAGCAAACAGGAUUAGAUACCCUGGUAGUCCACGCCCUAAACUAUGUCAACUAGGUGUUGGGUAGGUAAAACCAUUUAGUACCGUAGCUAACGCGUGAAGUUGACCGCCUGGGGAGUACGGCCGCAAGGUUAAAACUCAAAGGAAUUGACGGGGACCCGCACAAGCGGUGGAUGAUGUGGAUUAAUUCGAUGCAACGCGAAAAACCUUACCUACCCUUGACAUGCCAGGAACUUGCCAGAGAUGGCUUGGUGCCCGAAAGGGAGCCUGGACACAGGUGCUGCAUGGCUGUCGUCAGCUCGUGUCGUGAGAUGUUGGGUUAAGUCCCGCAACGAGCGCAACCCUUGUCGUUAAUUGCCAUCAUUUAGUUGGGCACUUUAACGAGACUGCCGGUGACAAACCGGAGGAAGGUGGGGAUGACGUCAAGUCCUCAUGGCCCUUAUGGGUAGGGCUUCACACGUCAUACAAUGGUC